CUCAGUCUCUCUCACACUCUGCUGUAAUUUUCGGGAGGAGAUUUGGAAGAUUCUCGCUGUCUUCGUAGUCAAGGCUAAGUCAAGAACAACGCCAUACAGCGACCAUUUCAGCAGCUCAAGUUCAAACGCACAAAUUACCAACGACAUCAACUCGUGCAACCAAAAUAACAAAGUCAGUAGUUUAUUUCAUUUGUAAAGACAUGCGCCCGCUCAUUGUGGUUGAAAACAAAGGUGCCAUCUCAGGGAACAUUAUCCACAAUGUCAGAAAAGAUUACAGCAACUUUUACCUUCAGUACAAAUGUCCGGAAAAAUUACCUCAGGUAAUACUAAUCCCCUCCAAGUAAUCUCUCUUUGCACUGAGCACAUCUCACACCUCUUUUGGGGGGACUGUCCUUAAGUUUUCUGAAGUAAUCGUCUGGCAUAUUUUACCUCAGCUGCUUUCUGCACUUCCCAGAGUUCAUCUUUAGAUUUAGGCCCUAUUUUAUUUUUUUCUGACUAGGUGACCCCAUACUGUCUCUAUAAAUUCAGGUUGGCGUGGUGGCAGAAAUUGGAAGAAGAACACCAGAAGAAUGAUGGCCUUCCUUUUAGACCACUCCCUAUCAAGAGAGUACAAUUUUGUUUGCCGCCAUGGAAAGCGAGAGUUCCGGGGGCUCAAACUGUUUGAGGUUGUAUAUGGAAGCUUGAAAAAAAAUGCCCUUACAAACCAGAUUACUAGAUGAGAUGCUGAAAAGGCAGUGUCAAAGUGGCUAAUUGGUGCCAGGGACAGGGGAGGAAACCGUACAGCGAGGGCACGUGGUGGACAGCAAGAUGGGGCCGUUGGGAGAGCGACAACAGAGGACUGAGAUUCUGCACUUUUGUUUUGUUUGUGAAAAAGAAAGUUUGUCAAAAGCUUUCACUUUUGAUACUUGUCUGUUAAUAC